UCACUCUCAGCAUUUCAUCCUGACACACUUCACCUGGGCAGAACACACCUCUUUGCUUGGCUUCCUUCACUGCUGUGAGAAAUUCCCCUCAAAUCCCCAGGACUGUUAUUUGGAGCUCACUGAGACUGAAGUGAAACUCCCAGGAAGCAGCACAAAGAUAACAAAUGAAAACUAAGCCAAAAUAUAAUCACUCUAAUUAUAAUGACUGCUAAAAGGAGAUGGUUAAGAGAGAAGUUCCAGGAGCAUUGAAGCCAGCUGUCAAGAUCCAGCCUAUCUGAUUGAAAACUGACAAGCAAGUCAGCUGGGAGAGCACUACCAUGUUAUAAAACAGAAGGAGAGGAGCAGCUUGGAGCCUUGAGGGCGGGGUUUUGGGUUGUUUAUGUGGUUUGGGGGUGGGUUUUUUUUGCAUGCUGCAAACUUACAACAGAAAAUGGAUGAAGUGAGAAAAAACCCUCAUUUUCACCUGGAUUAUAAAGCAGGACCAGCAGAUGUCAGCAUAACUCAAAGCACAACUUUGGAUUUUGGCAAGGCAACAUUCAUGACACCAGAACAGAGAAAGAUCUGCUGAGCACAUUGCAAGGUUAUACAACUUUACCAGGUAAAUCUGCAUGAACUUAACAGUAUUAUUGAAAUAAUGUGAUCCAACAAACAUGCAGAUCUCCCAAGUCAGCAAAGGCUAGGAAAUUUAUACAAAACACAACAAAAAUACCAAGAAUGAAAAUGUUACUAAAAUUUAAUUUAUAAAGCUU